rnacentral:rRNA from 1 species
UACGGAGGGUGCGAGCGUUAUCCGGAAUUACUGGGUUUAAAGGGUGCGUAGGUGGAUUAGUAAGUCAGUGGUGAAAUCUCCGGGCUUAACCCGGAAACUGCCAUUGAUACUAUUAGUCUUGAAUACCGUGGAGGUCAGCGGAAUAUGUCAUGUAGCGGUGAAAUGCUUAGAUAUGACAUAGAACACCAAUUGCGAAGGCAGCUGGCUACACGAGCAUUGACACUCAGGCACGAAAGCGUGGGGAUCAAACAGG